UACGUAGGGUGCAAGCGUUGUCCGGAAUUAUUGGGCGUAAAGAGCUCGUAGGCGGUUUGUCGCGUCUGCUGUGAAAACUCGGGGCUUAACUCCGGGUCUGCAUUCGAUACGGGCAGGCUAGAGUUCGGUAGGGGAGAUCGGAAUUCCUGGUGUAGCGGUGAAAUGCGCAGAUAUCAGGAGGAACACCGGUGGCGAAGGCGGAUCUCUGGGCCGAUACUGACGCUGAGGAGCGAAAGCGUGGGGAGCGAACAGG
rnacentral:rRNA from 1 species